AGGUCCUCCACGUCCUCCUCUUCUUCCUCCCAUCUGUUCCAUCAAAGGUCCAGGGGGCCCCCCAGGGCCACCUCGUCUUCCUCCACCAAAGCCACCUCGGUCCAUGCCCCGGCCACCACGGAAGCCACCUCUGUCUCCACCACGGCCACCUCUGAACAUUCCACCAGGACCACCACGAUCCAUGAGGCCACCUCUUCCUCCCCGCAUGCCACCAGGGCCACCUCUGCCACGAUCACCACCUGAGGCGAAGUUCUGGUUUCCACAACCCCUGCAUACAAUUACAUCACAGCAGAAAUCACCAAUUGAACUAAGUAAGAUAAACAAGGAAAGGUGGUGUGUGAACAGGUACACACUCACUAUCAAGAGGAUCUAUGUACACCCAGGCUUUAAGGCACAGCCUCAGGCAGCAGUGCACCCACAGGACAGGUCAAAUCAAUCUUCAGAAGGCUCUGAAGCAUCCAAGGAAUAACUGGUUAGUGCCCCCAACCAGCCAUCAGGGUCAUCAUUCUAUUCCCCUGGACAAAGCAAUCCGCUCUUGAGUGGGGAUGGGGUGUGGGAAGGGUGGCUUCACUCGAAGGAUAUCAAUUUGCCAAGACAAGUACAUACGGAUUGGGACAUUGCCAGUCUCCAGCUCGGUGCUGGACGUUUCCUCCUCCAGAGGGGUUCCCUCGGGAACCCCGGGGUCCUCUGGGAGGGAAGCCUCCUCUAUCUCCUCCACGGCCUCCCAUGCGACCCAUGGGUCCCCCAGGACCUCCUGGGCCUCCUGGACCUACCACAAGAAACAGCAAGUCAUUUCUCUGUAGCACGAGGUUUGCUAUGGGAAACAAACAUCACUAAGUAAACCCACA